GUAGCUUGCUACCUGACCUAGCGGCGGACGGGUGAGUAAUGCUUAGGAAUCUGCCUAUUAGUGGGGGACAACAUCUCGAAAGGGAUGCUAAUACCGCAUACGUCCUACGGGAGAAAGCAGGGGACCUUCGGGCCUUGCGCUAAUAGAUGAGCCUAAGUCGGAUUAGCUAGUUGGUGGGGUAAAGGCCUACCAAGGCGACGAUCUGUAGCGGGUCUGAGAGGAUGAUCCGCCACACUGGGACUGAGACACGGCCCAGACUCCUACGGGAGGCAGCAGUGGGGAAUAUUGGACAAUGGGGGGAACCCUGAUCCAGCCAUGCCGCGUGUGUGAAGAAGGCCUUUUGGUUGUAAAGCACUUUAAGCGAGGAGGAGGCUACCGAGAUUAAUACUCUUGGAUAGUGGACGUUACUCGCAGAAUAAGCACCGGCUAACUCUGUGCCAGCAGCCGCGGUAAUACAGAGGGUGCAAGCGUUAAUCGGAUUUACUGGGCGUAAAGCGCGCGUAGGUGGCCAAUUAAGUCAAAUGUGAAAUCCCCGAGCUUAACUUGGGAAUUGCAUUCGAUACUGGUUGGCUAGAGUAUGGGAGAGGAUGGUAGAAUUCCAGGUGUAGCGGUGAAAUGCGUAGAGAUCUGGAGGAAUACCGAUGGCGAAGGCAGCCAUCUGGCCUAAUACUGACACUGAGGUGCGAAAGCAUGGGGAGCAAACAGGAUUAGAUACCCUGGUAGUCCAUGCCGUAAACGAUGUCUACUAGCCGUUGGGGCCUUUGAGGCUUUAGUGGCGCAGCUAACGCGAUAAGUAGACCGCCUGGGGAGUACGGUCGCAAAGACUAAAACUCAAAUGAAUUGACGGGGGCCCCGCAC
rnacentral:rRNA from 1 species